GGGUUGUGAGGUUAAGCGACUAAGCGUACACGGUGGAUGCCCUGGCAGUCAGAGGCGAUGAAGGACGUGCUAAUCUGCGAUAAGCGUCGGUAAGGUGAUAUGAACCGUUAUAACCGGCGAUUUCCGAAUGGGGAAACCCAGUGUGAUUCGUCACACUAUCAUUAACUGAAUCCAUAGGUUAAUGAGGCGAACCGGGGGAACUGAAACAUCUAAGUACCCCGAGGAAAAGAAAUCAACCGAGAUUCCCCCAGUAGCGGCGAGCGAACGGGGAGCAGCCCAGAGCCUGAAUCAGUGUGUGUGUUAGUGGAAGCGUCUGGAAAGGCGCGCGAUACAGGGUGACAGCCCCGUACACAAAAAUGCACAUGCUGUGAGCUCGAUGAGUAGGGCGGGACACGUGGUAUCCUGUCUGAAUAUGGGGGGACCAUCCUCCAAGGCUAAAUACUCCUGACUGACCGAUAGUGAACCAGUACCGUGAGGGAAAGGCGAAAAGAACCCCGGCGAGGGGAGUGAAAAAGAACCUGAAACCGUGUACGUACAAGCAGUGGGAGCACGCUUAGGCGUGUGACUGCGUACCUUUUGUAUAAUGGGUCAGCGACUUAUAUUCUGUAGCAAGGUUAACCGAAUAGGGGAGCCGAAGGGAAACCGAGUCUUAACUGGGCGUUAAGUUGCAGGGUAUAGACCCGAAACCCGGUGAUCUAGCCAUGGGCAGGUUGAAGGUUGGGUAACACUAACUGGAGGACCGAACCGACUAAUGUUGAAAAAUUAGCGGAUGACUUGUGGCUGGGGGUGAAAGGCCAAUCAAACCGGGAGAUAGCUGGUUCUCCCCGAAAGCUAUUUAGGUAGCGCCUCGUGAAUUCAUCUCCGGGGGUAGAGCACUGUUUCGGCAAGGGGGUCAUCCCGACUUACCAACCCGAUGCAAACUGCGAAUACCGGAGAAUGUUAUCACGGGAGACACACGGCGGGUGCUAACGUCCGUCGUGAAGAGGGAAACAACCCAGACCGCCAGCUAAGGUCCCAAAGUCAUGGUUAAGUGGGAAACGAUGUGGGAAGGCCCAGACAGCCAGGAUGUUGGCUUAGAAGCAGCCAUCAUUUAAAGAAAGCGUAAUAGCUCACUGGUCGAGUCGGCCUGCGCGGAAGAUGUAACGGGGCUAAACCAUGCACCGAAGCUGCGGCAGCGACGCUUAUGCGUUGUUGGGUAGGGGAGCGUUCUGUAAGCCUGCGAAGGUGUGCUGUGAGGCAUGCUGGAGGUAUCAGAAGUGCGAAUGCUGACAUAAGUAACGAUAAAGCGGGUGAAAAGCCCGCUCGCCGGAAGACCAAGGGUUCCUGUCCAACGUUAAUCGGGGCAGGGUGAGUCGACCCCUAAGGCGAGGCCGAAAGGCGUAGUCGAUGGGAAACAGGUUAAUAUUCCUGUACUUGGUGUUACUGCGAAGGGGGGACGGAGAAGGCUAUGUUGGCCGGGCGACGGUUGUCCCGGUUUAAGCGUGUAGGCUGGUUUUCCAGGCAAAUCCGGAAAAUCAAGGCUGAGGCGUGAUGACGAGGCACUACGGUGCUGAAGCAACAAAUGCCCUGCUUCCAGGAAAAGCCUCUAAGCAUCAGGUAACAUCAAAUCGUACCCCAAACCGACACAGGUGGUCAGGUAGAGAAUACCAAGGCGCUUGAGAGAACUCGGGUGAAGGAACUAGGCAAAAUGGUGCCGUAACUUCGGGAGAAGGCACGCUGAUAUGUAGGUGAAGUCCCUCGCGGAUGGAGCUGAAAUCAGUCGAAGAUACCAGCUGGCUGCAACUGUUUAUUAAAAACACAGCACUGUGCAAACACGAAAGUGGACGUAUACGGUGUGACGCCUGCCCGGUGCCGGAAGGUUAAUUGAUGGGGUUAGCGCAAGCGAAGCUCUUGAUCGAAGCCCCGGUAAACGGCGGCCGUAACUAUAACGGUCCUAAGGUAGCGAAAUUCCUUGUCGGGUAAGUUCCGACCUGCACGAAUGGCGUAAUGAUGGCCAGGCUGUCUCCACCCGAGACUCAGUGAAAUUGAACUCGCUGUGAAGAUGCAGUGUACCCGCGGCAAGACGGAAAGACCCCGUGAACCUUUACUAUAGCUUGACACUGAACAUUGAGCCUUGAUGUGUAGGAUAGGUGGGAGGCUUUGAAGUGUGGACGCCAGUCUGCAUGGAGCCGACCUUGAAAUACCACCCUUUAAUGUUUGAUGUUCUAACGUUGACCCGUAAUCCGGGUUGCGGACAGUGUCUGGUGGGUAGUUUGACUGGGGCGGUCUCCUCCUAAAGAGUAACGGAGGAGCACGAAGGUUGGCUAAUCCUGGUCGGACAUCAGGAGGUUAGUGCAAUGGCAUAAGCCAGCUUGACUGCGAGCGUGACGGCGCGAGCAGGUGCGAAAGCAGGUCAUAGUGAUCCGGUGGUUCUGAAUGGAAGGGCCAUCGCUCAACGGAUAAAAGGUACUCCGGGGAUAACAGGCUGAUACCGCCCAAGAGUUCAUAUCGACGGCGGUGUUUGGCACCUCGAUGUCGGCUCAUCACAUCCUGGGGCUGAAGUAGGUCCCAAGGGUAUGGCUGUUCGCCAUUUAAAGUGGUACGCGAGCUGGGUUUAGAACGUCGUGAGACAGUUCGGUCCCUAUCUGCCGUGGGCGCUGGAGAACUGAGGGGGGCUGCUCCUAGUACGAGAGGACCGGAGUGGACGCAUCACUGGUGUUCGGGUUGUCAUGCCAAUGGCACUGCCCGGUAGCUAAAUGCGGAAGAGAUAAGUGCUGAAAGCAUCUAAGCACGAAACUUGCCCCGAGAUGAGUUCUCCCUGACUCCUUGAGAGUCCUGAAGGAACGUUGAAGACGACGACGUUGAUAGGCCGGGUGUGUAAGCGCAGCGAUGCGUUGAGCUAACCGGUACUAAUGAACCGUGAGGCUUAACCUUACAACGCCGAAGGUGUUU
rnacentral:rRNA from 1 species